rnacentral:lncRNA from 1 species
AACAUACAAUGCACUGAGGCUGAGAGGGAAGGAACGGAGCGAGUCAGGGAGAGAAAUCAUGAAGCUUUUCAGGGUAAAAUACAAACCUGCUCAUCCAGCUUGCCAACACGUUUUUAACAUUUGCAUCGACUAAUCUGUGAACAGUCGUUGGGGUGAUAAUUUCGUCUGAGAGAUUAACCAUUCAAGUCUCAAAGUUCCCAAGGAUUGUGAAAUCCUGCUUGUAAAAAUACAGAUUUUGAAGUGUUUCUUUUUUCUCCCUUUCUCAAAUGAAACCCCGAGGAUGCGCUUUGGACUUGGGGACUGAGGGCGUGGUGGGCAGACAGCUGUUGAAUCCAAACAAAGACUAUUCUGGAUCUGACGCCGUUUCGGUUUCCAUCUGGGAGUACUUUUCAUUUCCUUCUUCCCAUUCCAAAGGAAAGAAAUGGAUUAGGAAUGGGGCAGUCAGAAUUAUGUGUUUAUGGCGGACAGAUGGAACAGGAGAGGAUGAACCUUCAGCAACAAAAGGAUCAUUGAGAUUUGGUUCCUGGGUGUGCAAAUUUGGAAACAAAAUAACCAAGGAAGCUAUGGGAAUACCAAGACUCUAGCUAUCGACAAUGUUGACUCAUAGACGAAUCAUCUCUCCUUCUCUACUUUCCUAUCAUCAAUCAAGAAUUGUGGCCCCAUCUCACAAACUGCCGCGGAAGCCAAAAUUGCAGGACAUUUUGAGAAACAAGUCUUGAAAUCUGCCUGAAACUAACAAAAGCCACCCGCCAGUCAACCAGAGUCAGUCGCUCUCUCUCUCUCCCUUUCUUCCCUCCUCUCCCCCACUCUUCCUCGUCUCCCGCCCCCGCCCCCCAUCUUUCUCCAGCUAGCCUCGCCCCAAUUAACGCCCUACAGCCAGUCAGCCUUACACCUGCUGGAAAAAUCUUGGUGGCAGUGGUGGGAGGUGGUGGUUUUGGUUUUUAGCAGAGCGCGGGAGCACCCUGUCACACCCUCCUGAGACCGCCCUAGGACCGUCCUCUGGAAUAUCUUGGAGCCAGGAGCCAGGGAGGCUUUCCUCAGUCCCAGUCGUUGCCUGUCGCCGCUUUCGGUUUCUCUUCCCUAAUAGCACCCGCCACCCCUUUUCUCUGAAAUUCUCAAAGCAAUUUCAUCCUUUGCAGAGUUGCAAAGCUCUCCUACUGACUUGGGGUGUGCGGCUUAAAAAGGGGAGAAUGGAGUAGCUCGAAAGGGAAGGAGGGUCACAUUGAAUUCUCCUUUUAAAAAUUUUAAUUUCAUUGACACGUCUUGAAAGGUUUGUUUUGGUAUAAGGCAAGGCUGCCAAUUCCAAAUACAAACAGACGGACACACACUGUGUGUAUCAGAUGUUGGGAAUAAAAAUGGUUUAUUGAUUGAAAUAAUAGAGGCAUUAUUUUGAUUUGUCUUGACAUGGACGCUGAUUUAUAGAGCUCUUCCCCCAGUGAUUUCUUCUUGUAGUCCAGACACAUGGAAAUGAUAAAAAUCUCACCAAAGCUCACCUUGGUGCUAAUCAAGACUGCUCGAUGCACGUUAUAAAUCUGAUACAAUAUUUAUUGCUUAUCUGUAUUCGAGGGGUUAGUCUCCAUCCUAGGAUUGUCCCUUUCAAAAAAAAUUUUUUGGAUGCAUCUGUUUUCACUUUGCACUUUCAACGGGCUGGAGCAGACAAUAGUGUGAAAAACAUCUGAAAAUAUGAGGCGACAGAGCUGCAUGUGUGUUUCAUUUCUGCGGUGUUAGGGGAGAAAAUAACAAAAGAAACACACACUACAACACACACGCACGCACGCACACACACACACCGGCCCAGGACCUCAGCACAAAGGGCGCGCUGACCCAGCGCUAACACACAAGACAAAUUAAAGAAAGGGGCAAAUCGGAGGAGGGGCUAAGGCGAGGGUCCAGGCAUUUCGGGAAAAGAUCAAGGACAAGGAGAGUUAAGAAACUGACCGUGGGCCAGGGAAGACCGGAGAGAGAGAAAGUAAAGUGUCCAGGACUGGAACUCACGUCCCUGAGGCAGGGGACAGUAAGUUUGCUUGUAACACAGACAGUUUUCCUUGACUGCAGGAAACAAGAAAAAUAGUAAUCAUAAAACAAGCACAAAUCCCCCAAACAUCAGGGGGGUAAAACCCCCAUUAUUAGCCAUCACAAACCAAAACCCAAACCGAGUCUUUUCUGCUGAAUUGCUGCAAGAUCACAAGAGACCAAGAGAUCCGGAGUCAGGCUGUGAACUUGGGAAAGAUAAGUUGCCCGGCGAGGUUGGAGGUAGACUGAGGAACGCCUUUUUUUGUGAAGGACACAAAUAUUUGCAGAGUUUAAAGCUGCAGGAAUACAAAAGCAGGAGUGAGAUUAUCUGAUUACGGAUACAGGAUGUCCGAGUUGUUGCCUCCCAAAAACGACUGCGUAAAAAAAAAUAAAUAAAAGGCCAGUUCGAAAAGUGAAAUUUUAAUAUCAGUGAAAGCAUCGGAGGGACUCGGAUUGAACGCGGCAGCUCCGGAACUGGACAACAGCUGCGUGGUGCAGCCAAUCCCGGGGCCUGUGGGAACGAGCGACCGAUCUCAGGACCACGCGGGCGAGAGCAAGGAGCCUCCCGGCCACACAGCCACAGGCGCUGCGGAACCCAGCCCGGACUCUCCCCGGCUGGAGUGUGCGAAGGGCUUCCCGCCCAGGGGCCCAGGGUGGUCUUAGUGAAAAAGGGAUGGCGCUGCAGCACUGACCACGUUGCCCUGGUUUCUCCAUUUCUCCUUCCCAAGUCUCUGCCUCUGUUUCCCCAUGACCCGGAGGACGCGCCUACGGAAGAGACGUCUGGUCGAGGGGGUGCCGGGGAGCGGAAGGGGGAGGGGAAGGUCUCAUCCCUGGGACGCUGACACCCCCCUCCCCGCGGCACUCCAGCUCCGAAGAGCGAGCUUCGGUUCCGCCCGCCCUCCAGACCAUUUGCUUAUUCUCACUAUUGUUUUAAUUUAUUGUGCAGCCUGUUGCGCCGCGGGCCCGGCUGAGCCAUUUGGGGCCCUCUAGAUGCCCUGCAGGGCGCCUGUCUCCGGACGACCACCACGCAGGAGCAGCGGGGGCACGCGCGUGUUUUCUUGUGGAUAACUGCCUCGGACUUGGCGGGGCCGGUCCCCACCUGAAGCUCACCUCAGGCAGUCGCUAGAAGUUCCAAUCCAAUCUGCUUUGGAAAUUUAGAAAGCGCGCUUUCAUUUGUACAUCGCCUGCCGACAGCCCCUUUGCUGAUUAGAGAAGCCUUGUUCCCCCUCUCCACGCGUACGCACACUCAUUUUUAGUUUUAACAAAUGAUUUAAAAAUC